GAUGAAACGGCCAAAAGCGCUUCAGCAACGUGUUUUCUUCAAGAAUCCAAAAUCGCAUCGCGCGUUUCUGAUUCCUGUCUCGCAUUCAGGUUGCACCGCAGAUUCACGUCCUUAACACCACAACGUCACGCUUCUAAUCGCCGGCUAGCACUUCGUCAUCAACCUCUCUGCGUUCCAAUCGUCCACGAUUCAACGAUAUCUCACGGAUUCAACAUCGUUCGUUAAUCAAACACGGUUUGCGCUUCCAAUCGAUUCAUCUCAAUGCAAAUUUGGCGGUUCGUUCUAUGUUCGAAUUAGAAGUAAGAGAUCGACGUGAAUAAAUAAACACUUACCGAUGAGAGUUUCUGGCGUGGUGGCUCUGCAACUCCAACUUCGGCGAAAGCUUCGCCGAUUAAUUGUGGAAAUCAGUUGCGGAGUGAAUGGAUUUUCUACAUAAAGGAAGAGCUUGAUGCGGUGGAAGUGCAAAACUUGCUGCAGAAUGAUGAGUUAGAUGCAGAAUGAUGAAGAAGCCCUUGGUGCAGAAUCAUGAAGAAGAAGCUCCUGAAUUCUGAGGCCUACGAGAUUUUGAAUGGUGAGAAAGACGGCAUGUUCAGCUUGUUAAUACCGCAUUGCAACCGUUGGGUCUGAACUUAAUUCUGUAGGUUGAAAGACCUGAUUUUUUUGCAAGUCGUGCCAUCUUUGAUCAUGAAGAUUUAAGCAGGAUUCACUAUACUUCGACUGUUGCUGCUUGGCCAUGUUACUGCAGGUUGUUGUGUGUGAAUGUGUAAGGCACCGAAUUAUUUCAUACCAGUAUUAUGUGGAUUGUAAUGGAAUGUAUAAGAAGUGGAUUGUGUUGUACCCCAAAAUUUGUCCUCCAUUUUUGCUUCUUACGUGAUAUGUGGCUUGAGGCUCA